UAUCUUGUGUAAUCCUAACAGGAGGAGCAGGCCAACACUCACCUGUCCAGGUACAGGAAGGUGCAGCAUGAGCUGGAGGAGUCUCAUGAGCGCGCUGACAUCGCCGAGUCCCAGGUCAACAAGCUGAGAGCCAAGAGCCGUGAAGCUGGGAAGACUAAAGAUGAAGAAUGAAGACAAUAAACUACACCUACAAGCAAGCAUAUGACUGACUUGUGCUGAGUUUUUCUGUGUCCAUUAAAUGGCAGAGUUUGAA